rnacentral:rRNA from 1 species
AGAGUUUGAUCCUGGCUCAGGACGAACGCUGGCGGCGCGCUUAACACAUGCAAGUCGAGCGAGAACCAAGCCUUCGGGCUUGGGGACAGCGGCGAACGGGUGAGUAACACGUGGGUAAUCAACCCUCGACACUGGGAUAGCCCGGGGAAACCCGGAUUAAUACCGGAUACCCCAUCUGGCCUUCGGGCCGGCUGGAAAAGGUAGCUUUGGCCUCCGGUCGAGGACGAGCCCGCGGCGGAUUAGCUUGUUGGCGGGGUAAAAGCCCACCAAGGCGACGAUCCGUAGCUGGUCUGAGAGGACGAUCAGCCACACUGGGACUGAGACACGGCCCAGACUCCUACGGGAGGCAGCAGUGGGGAAUCUUGCGCAAUGGGCGAAAGCCUGACGCAGCGACGCCGCGUGUGGGAAGAAGGCCUUCGGGUUGUAAACCACUUUCAGGAGGGACGAAGCCACUCGGGUUAAUAGCCCAGAGGGUGACGGUACCUCCAGAAGAAGCCCCGGCUAACUACGUGCCAGCAGCCGCGGUAAUACGUAGGGGGCAAGCGUUGUCCGGAUUUAUUGGGCGUAAAGAGCGUGUAGGCGGCCAUACAGGUCAGCUGUGAAAACUCGAGGCUCAACCUCGAGACGUCGGUUGAAACCGUAUGGCUAGAGUCCGGAAGAGGAGAGUGGAAUUCCCGGUGUAGCGGUGAAAUGCGCAGAUAUCGGGAAGAACACCUAUGGCGAAGGCAGCUCUCUGGGACGGUACUGACGCUGAGCGCGAAAGCGUGGGGAGCAAACAGGAUUAGAUACCCUAGUAGUCC